AACGAACGCUGGCGGCAUGCCUAACACAUGCAAGUCGAACGAACCCUUCGGGGUUAGUGGCGCACGGGUGCGUAACGCGUGGGAAUCUGCCCUUUGCUUCGGAAUAACAGUUAGAAAUGACUGCUAAUACCGGAUGAUGUCUUCGGACCAAAGAUUUAUCGGCAAAGGAUGAGCCCGCGUAGGAUUAGGUAGUUGGUGGGGUAAAGGCCUACCAAGCCGACGAUCCUUAGCUGGUCUGAGAGGAUGAUCAGCCACACUGGGACUGAGACACGGCCCAGACUCCUACGGGAGGCAGCAGUGGGGAAUAUUGGACAAUGGGCGAAAGCCUGAUCCAGCAAUGCCGCGUGAGUGAUGAGGGCCUUAGGGUUGUAAAGCUCUUUUACCAGGGAUGAUAAUGACAGUACCUGGAGAAUAAGCUCCGGCUAACUCCGUG
rnacentral:rRNA from 1 species